rnacentral:rRNA from 1 species
UACAGAGGUCUCGAGCGUUGUUCGGAUUCAUUGGGCGUAAAGGGUGCGUAGGCGGUCUGACAAGUCUGAUGUGAAAUCUAUGGGCUCAACCCAUAGUCUGCAUCGGAAACUGUCGGGCUUGAGUAUGGGAGAGGUGAGUGGAAUUUCCGGUGUAGCGGUGAAAUGCGUAGAUAUCGGAAGGAACACCUGUGGCGAAAGCGGCUCACUGGACCAUUACUGACGCUGAGGCACGAAAGCUAGGGGAGCAAACAGG